rnacentral:rRNA from 1 species
GAUGAACGCUGGCGGCGUGCCUAAUACAUGCAAGUCGAGCGAACAGACGAGGAGCUUGCUCUUCUGACGUUAGCGGCGGACGGGUGAGUAACACGUGGAUAACCUACCUAUAAGACUGGGAUAACUUCGGGAAACCGGAGCUAAUACCGGAUAAUAUAUUGAACCGCAUGGUUCAAUAGUGAAAGACGGCUUUGCUGUCAUUUAUAGAUGGAUCCGCGCCGCAUUAGCUAGUUGGUAAGGUAACGGCUUACCAAGGCAACGAUGCGUAGCCGACCUGAGAGGGUGAUCGACCACACUGUAACUGAGACACGGUCCAGACUCCUACGGUGGGCAGCAGUAGGGAAUCUUCCGCAAUGGGCGAAAGCCUGACGGAGCAACGCCGCGUGAGUGAUGAAGGUCUUCGGAUCGUAAAACUCUGUUAUUAGGGAAAAACAAAUGUGUAAGUAACUAUGCACGUCUUGACGGUACCUAAUCAGAAAGCCACGGCUAACUACGUG